GAUGAAGAACGUAGCGAAAUGCGACAAGUAAUGUGAAUUGCAGAAUUCAGUGAAUCAUCGAAUCUUUGAACGCACAUUGCGCCCUUUGGUAUUCCAAAGGGCAUGCCUGUUCGAGCGUCAUUUGUACCCUCAAGCUUUGCUUGGUGUUGGGCGUCUUGUCUCUAGCUUUGCUGGAGACUCGCCUUAAAGUAAUUGGCAGCCGGCCUACUGGUUUCGGAGCGCAGCACAAGUCGCACUCUCUAUCAGCAAAGGUCUAGCAUCCAUUAAGCCUUUUUUUCAACUUUUGACCUCGGAUCAGGUAGGGAUACCCGCUGAACUUAAGCAUAUCAAUAAGCGGAGGA
rnacentral:misc_RNA from 1 species